rnacentral:lncRNA from 1 species
UUUUUUUUUUUUUUUUUUUUUUUUACAGCUUUGCCUUUAAUAUGACUGCAGUGGUAGCGACCAAAUCAAAAGCAGCAAGGCCUCUUUACUGGACAUUCAGCACAUAGGUGCUACAUAUGAAUGUAGCCACAAUUCAAUUCCUGUAUCAGAUGACCAAUGUUCAUCAGUGUUGUAGCUAGGAGGGCAGGGGUUACUGCUCUGAGUUCCAAAUGUUUUGAAGUUUUGUUAGAUGACAUUUGGAUGAGAUUGGAAGAUACCAAAAGACAGAUAAGGCUCCAGCUAAGAAAUCAAGAUAUCAGCGUGUGGGUGUGUCAGGAAGAGUGACAUCAAUAAAGUCCUUACACACUAGACUUUAUAGGUUAGAAAAUAGCACAGAGAAUCAAUUGGUGCCUCAAAACUAGAGGUUCUACCUGCUUGCAAACCUAGAUACAUGUAACUAUAUCUAUCCCACUUGGAGAUCAUGUUCUUGUUUGUAAGACUCAGACACUGGGUCUGCUUCUGGUUUUCUAAGCAGGACCAGAUCUGUUUUGUGAGUUAAAAAUAAGCUGAAGGACUCUUGAAAAGAAUACUCCAGCUAAACACCCAGAAAAGUAUUCAUUUUCAGGAUGCUAUAAUACAGAUAAUACUUUUGAACAUUUUUAUUUACCUAAUGAGGGUCUAUAAUCUGCUGCUGAUAGAGAAGUCAUUUACUCUUCUUGUAAAGAGGAAAAUGAUUCAAAGAGAGAAAUACAUGCAAGCAGUGUUUGCACCGUCUGUAGCUAUUGAAUGGACCAUAUCUUAGCUCUUCUACAUCCUUAAAGGGGUUGUUGAGAUAAAAUGAGCUAAGGCUGCACUGGGAACCUCUGUCACCAAGGCAUUUUUAAUACAAUAAAGAAUUUAUAAAUGAGAUCAUUGACAAUUUUGCACUUUUAUAAACUAUAGGACUCCAGUCUCUGUUUUCUCACUGAGAUGAAUUUUCCCAAAGAAAGCUCUCAUAGGUCACACCAAUUAUAAAAUCCUAAAAAUUAAAGAAAACCUUGAUGACAUGGGAGUAAGAGCAAUUCACAGCCUCUUGGUGAUUCUUGCUCCGUUUCUUGGGCUCCUGUUCCAGCCAAGGCGGGGUUAGCAUUAGUCAUUCAUAAUUGUGUUCCAGUUUGCUGCGUGGCUCAUGGCAUGCCUGAUAUAGUUUCCUUCCCGUUUGUUUUUGCAGUUACAAAAGCCACUACAUAUUCUCCAGGGCUCUUUCAAACCAGUGGAGAUGUAAGAGUUUUAAUGUUUGGGGAAGAUUUCAUUGAAGAGUUUCCUGGAAAGUAUUAGGAGUGACCACCAUGAAUAAAAGAUAAGUGGAGCUUAUUAUAAUUGUGUCACUUUCCAGUCCGGAAUAGAUUUAGCUUGGAUUCUUGGAAGAGAUUGUUCAUGGCACACUGUGAGAAACAUUCCAUUAUCUAAAUGUGAGAAGGGAGCAGAAUCUCCCACUGAAAAUGGAAAUCGCUUUCAUCACCAAAGUCGGUGGAUUGCUGAGUCUUUAUUUGCAGCCAUACUGAGAGACCUUGAAAAAGAAAAAGAACAGCUGCUGUGGUUUUAUAGGUCUUAGUACAAUCUAUAGCAUUCAUGUCUAUAUGGAAUCAGGAUAUUCCCUUGUCUUUCCUCCUCUGACAUAAAAGUCCGAGUGACUGAAACCAUUUAUCCUCCUGCUCACCAGUGUAUCUGCAAUGCUUAUCACGUGUUCCCAUUAAUUAUGCAUAUUCUUUCAGCAAUAGACUUCCUGAUUCUUAAGUAGAAAAUCUGUCACUGUUUGAAAAGGACAGAGAUAUUGCUAAGCUACCUCACAGGGAUAUUUAAAGAUGAAAUGCCAUACAACCUUUGUCUAAAUGGUAAUACACUAUUAUUUAUUUUCCUUUCACUGGUAAAAUCGUACCCAGAUAGUGGUAAAAUGAACACCAUCGUGUGUAGUUUUAUUUCUGUGUGCCACUUACUAUAAAUAUUCACCAAUGCAGCAUCCCUUGGGAAAGAUGUUCAGUUAUCUCUUCAUGGAAAUCCCAGAGCAUGAAAAUUAGUGCAGCAAGAGUAUUAGUUCAGAAACAGUACUGCCUAGGGUUAACUUAGAGACAGUGGCUCAUCAGCAAGAUGUGUCAUCAAGUAAUCUGGGACUAACUUCAAUGAAAAGCCCAUUUGCCCUUCUUUGCAGAGGAUGGAAAGGCAUCAAUUACUUUACUUAUGUUAAGCAGUUAUGAAACAAUAAAGAUACUAGAAUGACUUCCUAGGUCCCCCCUGACCCACCCACCCAGUGUAAAACCACUGCUUUCUCCUCCACUAAGAUUCUGAACCACAGGCUGCUUCAAAUCAGUGAGGAGAAGACUGCUAGAAAGGAUAGCUGUCUCUUCGCAAGUCAAUAAACCAUGGGCGUGACCACGGAAACCGAGUGCUCCAUUUCCUUUCCUUUCCCAGAAGAAAUGCCCACAAGUUCCUAAUCCUGGUGCAGUGAGAUGCUAAUCUCUAUAGCCAAAUGAAAAGGAAAGAUAACAUGUAUAAAAUUAUAAAGUCCUGGCAUCCUAACAGUACAAACCCCAAUGGCAAAACACCAUUGCCAGUUGCCUUUGCCAUAAGGAUGGCUUUUUAAUAUAACAUUCCUUUUACAUUUUGGUUCUUUGCAUUCUUUUUUGUAAAAAUAGCCUUAUUCAUCACAUCCAAUUUUCCAGUAAAGGAUUGAAGACCUCUGUUCCAGAAUUCUGCACAUAGGACUUUAACUCUAAAGCUACCUUAUCGACAGAAGCUUAAAGG